GACGAACGCUGGCGGCGUGCUUAACACAUGCAAGUCGAGCGGUAAGGCCCUUCGGGGUACACGAGCGGCGAACGGGUGAGUAACACGUGGGUGACCUGCCUCUAGCUCUGGGAUAAGCCUGGGAAACUGGGUCUAAUACCGGAUAUGACUCCACGGCGCAUGUUGGUGGGGUGGAAAGCCUUGUGUGGCUAGAGAUGGGCCCGCGGCCUAUCAGCUUGUUGGUGGGGUGAGGCCUACCAAGGCGACGACGGGUAGCCGGCCUGAGAGGGCGACCGGCCACACUGGGACUGAGACACGGCCCAGACUCC
rnacentral:rRNA from 1 species